UUUUUUUUUUUUUUUUUUACUGCUGUACCUACAGCAUAUGGAGGUUCCCAGGCCAAGGGUCAAAUCGGAGCUGCAGCUGCUGGCCUACACCACAGCCACAGCAAGUCCAGAUUCUCAAUACACUGAGCCAGGCCAGGAAUCGAAACUGCAUCCUCACAGAGUCAACGUCGGAUCCUUAAUUCACUGAGCCACAAUGGGAACUCCUUCUAUGAGUUUUUAAUAGGACCAAAGAUUAAUCAAAGGCCCUCUUUGAAAAGUUACUCAAUAGUACUAGAUUCACUGUUGAAAAUAAGCUUUGCAGGUUGAAUGUCACAUACAAAGGGCACGAAAGGACACUGCUGUUGUGCUAAUGAAACGACAUUUAAAUAUUCACCGAGUUCCAUUAUAAAUGGAUUUCUUAGGAGACACAUCUGCAAGGACCACCUUUUCUUCCCCUGAAAAGACCAUCUCAGUCUUCAUGAGCACACGCUCACAAGAGAAGCCGAGGGGCCAGUCUGAGCUCAAGGGAUGUCCCGGGUUCCUGUGACCUGGAGUCCCUCUCUGAACCUCAGUUUCCUCACCUGUAAAAUGGCACAACAGCAAUUACAUCAUGCAGCCGACUGGAAGCACAGAAGGGAACCGGGAGGGCGAGGACAGCCCCUGGCAAGGACCCCCACCGCGGGCACCCUCGUCGCCUCGUCCGGGGACCACAGAUACCGUGAGCGUGACAACCUUGACCGCAGCCUCUGCUUUCCUGGAUCUCAUGGGGAAUUCAGGUUCUAAGGGAAGCCUCCAGAGCGACCCGGUUCGAAAGGAACAAACACCUCACACGUGUCGGCCUGAAACCCUCCAGCGGGUCCAUCUCAGUCCGGGAAGAGCCCCGCCCCCAGCGCCCUCUGACGUCACGGCCCACUGCCCCGCCCACCCCGCUGUGCUGCCCCCGCCCUGCGUUGGUGACCGCAGUCCCCCUGCCCCGGGGCGUCUCCACCAGGUUCUGCGUGACACCCUGCCACGGCCAGGUCUCUGUUCAGACGUCGCCUGAGCCCCCGUGAGAAUGAACCACCCCUGCCAACCCCGGGCUGCUCAUGUCUUGCUUCCUUUUCCUCCUUCAAUAGAGCACCUGCUGUGACUCAUCCCUUCACCCGCUUUCCGCAACCAGCAUGUCAACAAAGGCAGAGAUGUUGUGGAUUUUGUCUGCUGUGUUCCCAAUCCCAGGACAGAGCCGGCUCUGGGAAAGAGCAGAGGACGCGAAGAAAGUGGGCAGGACUCGGGCCAGGUUGUGACCCCGACUCUGAGACUCACCUGACUCCUCACUCCCUGCGCCCAUAGCGGGGCAUAAUCCACCUGCGGGGCCCUUAGGGGGCGCCACGGCUUACCCGGGUUCAGUAAGGCAGUGCGGAAAUGUGGCAGUGUUACCAUUAGUGGGUGACGUGUCAACAGGCUGCCUACACGGGCCCUGUUUUAAAUGUUGUCCAUUUGGGAAUUGUUUGCCUUGCGACCUCCUCAUGGAAUGAGAUCGCCACGGCCAGCGAGACCCGUCUCCAGCAUCAGAGUGCCCAGGCCCGUGGCAGGACAUGCGAGGGAUGGUCACUGUGGGUUUCCUCAAAAUUGGUGAAAAAUGGGCUCAACCCGAAGAUUCUGGAGAUUUGUCAGGAGGCUGGGUUAACAUCUUGGAAACCUGUCCCAUUGCUCUAUGAAAUGCUCAAACAGGAGUUCCCUUCAUGGCUCAGCGGAAACGAAUCCAACUAGUAUCCAUGAGGACUUGGGUUCGAUCCCUGGCCUUGCUCAGUGGGUUAAGGCUCCGGCGUUGUCGUGAGCUGUGGUGUAGGUGGCAGAUGCGGCUUGGAUCUGGCGUGGCUGUGGCUGUGGUGCAGGCUUGGCAGCUACAGCUCUGAUUCGGCCCCUAGCCUGGGAACUUCCACAUGCUGCAGGUGUGGCCCUAAAAAGACAAAAAGAAAGGAAGAAAGAAAGAAAUGCUUGACGGCGUUCUCGCAGGAGUCGGGUGGGGUUGGAAGAUUGGAUGAAGGAGAUGGAUGAGGCUCAUCAUCCCUGGUAAGAGAGCAGUUCUCCAGGUGCACCCCUCGGUCCACGGGGACGGCAGGGAAGCGAAAGAGCCAGAAAAGGGCUUUCCUCCUUGUUUACUUUGGGCUGCGCAGUCUGCGCUUUUAAAACCUCCUCUCAUGUAAUUCAGAGACCAGGGAUCUCUCUCUUGCAAACUGACACUCUUGCGCUGAAAGCCCAGGCGUGUCUGCAGGGACCCGGUCAGCAUCAGAGGUCCCCUCGGCGGGACUACACAGUAGGGACAAAGGUCCCAUCAGCUGAGGCCACAGGUUCGAAGACAGCACGUUACUCACACCAGUCACCCAGUCACCACCCCGACACCUGAGCCCGAGCCAACUAAGGGGCCAGGAUCCCGGGGCAUGAAACAACCCGUGAGUCCCCGCAAAGUGUUCUGGAGCGGGCAGUGGGGCUGCUGACCCAGGGGCCUGGAACAAGUCGCCCGAAUCGGUCUGCGGUGAUUUAAGCACAAGGUGUUCACAGAUGGGAGCUGAGAACGAGGGGCCAGCGCCACCUUGUGGAGAGGCCCGCGGGCCCUCUGGUACCCACCCCACACCUCUGCCCAGCCUGGCAGCCGCCAAACUCACCCAGCCUCCGCCAUCAGGGACUCCAGUGCAUUGGGGCAGGGAUUCAACAACGUUCUUUCAACUUUUUCAAAAGACUCCCUCCAAAGCUACUAACUCUAGUUUCUCCCGCUGAGGUGCCCCAGGCGCUGUGUGCCACGGGCUCUCAGGGGUGACACCAGGACACCAGCCUCUUCCUAGCUCGUUUGCUCAUACAGACCCUCUCCCACUUUGAUCUCACACCAUUUGGUUUCAUGCAAGAAAUGCUUAGGAGUUCCCGCUAUGGCGCAAUGGGUUAAAAACUCCAAGUACAGUGGCUGGGGUCUCUGCAGAGGUGCCGCUUCAAUCCCCAGCCCUGUGCAGGGGGUUAAGGGGUUCAGCAUGGCUGCAGCUCCAGCCUAGAGUCAACCUCGGGCCAGGAACUUGCAUAGGCCAUAAAAAAAAAUAAAUUAGAAACACUUAUGACGCAUUAAAUGCCACGUAGGCACUGGAGAGGUUCAGUGAACCGGACCAGCAUCUGGCUUUGGGUCAAGAGAACACAGGUAAGUUUUAAGAGCCACAGUUUUGCACAAAGAGCAACAAGUGGAGUUCCCGUCGUGGUACAGCAGAAACGAAUCCGACUAGGAACCAUGAUGAGGUUGCAGGUUUGAUCCCUGGCCUCGCUCAGCAGGUUAAGGAUCCGGUGUUGCCGUGAGCUGUGGUGUAGGUCACAGACACAGUUGGAUCUGGGUUGCUGUGGCUGUGGUGUAGGCUGGCAGCCACAGCUCCGGUUGGUCCCCUAGCCCAGGAACCUCCAUAUGCUACAAGUGCGGCCCGAAAAAGACUAAAGACCAAAAAAAAAAAAAAAAAAAAAAAAAAAAAAAAAAAAAAAAGCUGGAGAGGGAAGAGGAGAGGGCCCUUCAGAGCAGCCAUGGCCGCUGUCAACACCCCCAGUGUCCACCUGGCUCGGUGACAUUGCCCAGGCGCCCCAGAGUUCCAGCUGGAGCUGCAGCUGUGGCCACGUGGCCCAAGCCUGUCCCGGGGCCUCUGCCUCCUUGGCGGGGCUGGCCUGGGUGUGGACACGCUGCUUUUCCUCUUAGUUCAUCCGAGGCAAGAUCGGAAUUUUCCAGUAGGAAUGUUUACUAGGCAACUAAAGGAAAAAAACAAAAGAAAAAAGGAAGCACAGAGGUACCUAAAGGCUGGCUUGCUGAGCGGAGCUGCCCCAUCCCCAAGCUCCGGCGAGGACAGGCUUGGCGGGAGCCACUUCUCAGCACCCGAGCCUGGCCUCCUGGCAGGAUGUGACUCCGGUGCAGGCUCCUGGGCCAGCUGAGACCUGCAGGACACGUCAGCAAGGCUUCCCAGCCCUGGUUCUGGACGAGGCCUGAGGCUGGAUCUCAGCCCGGCUCUUUUCUAACGGCGAGGCCUUCGCCGUGGAGCCGGGGUGUCCCUCCCCGGACACGGCGCACAUCGCCAGGGUGAGACAGAGAGAGCUCGCGCCCCACAUGCAGCGGCACUCAGUUAAAGGCAAUACAUCAACAGGCUGCUGUCCCCUGAGCCUCCGCCAGCUUCCAGGCCCGGGACAGGCCAUGCGACAAGGUCUCAUUGACACUUCAGGCCAUCCCACCAGACUGCCACUUACACUCGGCACUGUACACAUGAGAAACCAAGUUUUGAAAAAGAGAAACUUUUUUUUUCCUUAUAGGGCCACACCCACCGCAUAUGGAGGUCCCCAGGCUAGGGGUGGAAUCAGAGCUGCAGCUGCUGGCCUAUCCCACAGCCACAGCCAUGCAGGAUCCGAGCAGCAUCUGUGACCUAUGCUUCAGCUUAGAGCAAUGCUGGAUCCUUCCUUAACUCACUGAGCGAGGCCAGGGCUCGAACCUGCAUUCUCAUGGAGAACAGUUGGGUUCUUAACCUGCUGAGCCACAGUGGGAACUCCACGACGCACUUUCCUGAGGGCUCAUUUCUAAGCAGCAGAGCUGGGCCUCAAACCCUAGUUUGUUCAUUGCUGAAGUCUUUUUUUAAUGACUCUUUUUUUUCUUUUUUUUUGAGGCAAAACAUAUAAAGAGAAAAGUACU
ensembl:lncRNA